rnacentral:pre_miRNA from 1 species
GGGAGGCACCUGCUGGGCAGCGGUGGGGCCUGGGCAGCUCUGUGUGUUGAGGAAGGAAGGCAGGGCCUCUGCUCCCUGGGCCGGAGCCCCCA